CCUCCUUCCCCAGCUGCCAUCGGGGCUCCCUGCCUGUCUGCCGGCCUGCCUGCCUUCUUUCCUCGCGGAGGAAGGAAGGUCCGGGCCGCGGUCGGAGAAGCUCUCUGGUCCCUUCGCUCGCGCUGUGCACUUUUCCCAUCCGCGAUCGGGAUUGGAGAGUUUUGGCGCGUCCCGAUGAUUUGGGGACGAAUCCCUCUAAUUCACUGAAUGGAUGAUUAAGUAAACCACAAUUUUGGCUCCCUAGCUUUGGAUCUGACACCGGAGAAAAGUAACCAGCCUCUUUCUAGGCAGUGGGUGAAGCAGUGUAUGGACCUAAAAAAGAUAGAAAGAUUUUGAAUAACACUUCUUAACCAGAAAGGGCAUAGAGGUAGUGGGGAUGGAUGGAUGGCUGUUUCUCUGCCUAAAUUAAGAACACAGAAAUGCUGAUGGUUGGCUUGGUUUCCUGCGUGACCCAACAAAAGCGCGAACGUCAAAAGCGCGCUGACA